rnacentral:rRNA from 1 species
UGACCUAAGGUGAGGGCGGGAGCCGUAGCCGAUGGACAACAGGUUGAUAUUCCUGUACUGCAGUAUGACAGAACUGUGGGGACACGUAAGGAGAGCGGGAGCCGGGAAUGGAAAGCCCGGUACAAGCGAGGUACCAGUACGGUAGGAAAAUCCGCCGUGCAAUGGGAAGACGUGAUGUGGAGCGAAAUUUAGUAGCGAAGCCCGUGAGCCAUGCGUCAAGAAAAGCCGCUAUUGUUUAUACUGUACCCGUACCGUAAACCGACACAGGUGGAUGAGGAGAGAAUCCUAAGGCCGGCGGAAGAAGUAUUGCCAAGGAACUCGGCAAAAUGGCCCCGUAACUUAGGGAGAAGGGGUGCCUGCGAGAGCAGGCCGCAGAGAAUAGGCUCAAGCAACUGUUUAGCAAAAACACAGGUCUAUGCGAAACCGAAAGGUGAGGUAUAUGGGCUGACGCCUGCCCGGUGCUGGAAGGUUAAGAGGAGAGGUUAGCGGUAACGCGAAGCUUUGAAUUUAAGCCCCAGUAAACGGCGGCCGUAACAAUAACGGUCCUAAGGUAGCGAAAUUCCUUGUCGGGUAAGUUCCGACCCGCACGAAAGGCGUAAUGAUUUGAGCGCUGUCUCGGCAAUACAUCCGGUGAAAUUGAAGUGCCAGUGAAGAUGCUGGCUACCCGCGCCAGGACGGAAAGACCCCAUGGAGCUUUACUCCAGUUUGGCACUGGGGUCCGGUGUUGCAUGUACAGGAUAGGUGGGAGGCUGAGAAACGGUAACGUCAGUUGCCGCGGAGCCGCUGUUGGGAUACCACCCUUGUGAUAUUGGGCUUCUAACCAGCCGCCGUGAUCCGGCGGUGGGACAAUGCCAGGCGGGGAGUUUGACUGGGGCGGUCGCCUCCGAAAGGGUAUCGGAGGCGCCCAAAGGUUCCCUCAGAAUGGACGGAAACCAUUCGAAGAGUGCAAAGGCAGAAGGGAGCUUGACUGCGACACCGACGGGUGGAGCAGGUACGAAAGUAGGGCUUAGUGAUCCGGUGGUAUUAAGUGGGAAUGCCAUCGCUCAACGGAUAAAAGCUACCCUGGGAUAACAGGCUUAUCACUCCCAAGAGUUCACAUCGACGGAGUGGUUUGGCACCUCGAUGUCGGCUCAUCGCAUCCUGGGGCUGUAGUAGGUCCCAAGGGUUGGGCUGUUCGCCCAUUAAAGCGGUACGCGAGCUGGGUUCGGAACGUCGUGAGACAGUUCGGUCCCUAUCCGGCGUGGGCGUAGGAUAUCUGAGAGGAGCUGUCCUUAGUACGAGAGGACCGGGAUGGACGGACCGCUGGUGGACCGGUUGGCUUGCCAAAGCCAUGGCCGGGUAGCCAAGUCCGGAAGGGAUAAACGCUGAAGGCAUCUAAGCGUGAAGCCCCCCUCAAGAUGAGAUAUCCCAUUCUUAUGAAGUAAACCCCCUUGAAGACGACGAGGUAGAUAGGGCAGGGGUGGAAGUGUGGCAACACAUGGAGCUGACUGUUACUAAUCGGGUGAGGGCUUGAUC